UCAUGUGAGAGUGAUCUGGCUGCAGUAUGUGACUUCUUUUAUUUGCCAGGGUUGAUUCAUCUCAUCUGGCUGUCUAGGCAGGUUUCCUUUUACUCCUUCACUCCUCCAUGUGUGUCUCUCCCAAAGUGGCACGCUUGGUCGAAGAGGAUGACCUUUCCUGAUAGAGGAGGAUUGUUCUUCAGUCAAGGUAUAGGAGUAGCUGCGCUUCCCUUUUAGAACCUCCAAACAAGAUCUCAAGAUUCAUUUGUAGGAGAACAUAGAGUAAAAAAAAAAAUUUUUUUUAAUUUGUAAUUUUGAUGAAGUCCUAUUCAUUUUU
rnacentral:snRNA from 1 species